CCGAAUGGGGAAACCCAGUGUGAUUCGUCACACUAUCAUUAACUGAAUCCAUAGGUUAAUGAGGCGAACCGGGGGAACUGAAACAUCUAAGUACCCCGAGGAAAAGAAAUCAACCGAGAUUCCCCCAGUAGCGGCGAGCGAACGGGGAGGAGCCCAGAGCCUGAAUCAGCAUGUGUGUUAGUGGAAGCGUCUGGAAAGGYGCGCGAUACAGGGUGACAGCCCCGUACACAAAAGCGCAUGUGCUGUGAGCUCGAUGAGUAGGGCGGGACACGUGGUAUCCUGUCUGAAUAUGGGGGGACCAUCCUCCAAGGCUAAAUACUCCUGACUGACCGAUAGUGAACCAGUACCGUGAGGGAAAGGCGAAAAGAACCCCGGCGAGGGGAGUGAAAAAGAACCUGAAACCGUGUACGUACAAGCAGUGGGAGC
rnacentral:rRNA from 1 species